rnacentral:lncRNA from 1 species
CUUUUAAAUUCAAGAUCAAGAAUUUUAACCUUAAUCUAGAUAGUUUAAAGUAUUUUUUAUCAAAAUUUAAAAAAAUUUAGAUUCUUCUACACCGUUAAACUCCAAACUCGCUAUAGUAGCCAUUAAAAAUUGACAAUUUUUGUAACACACUGGACCUUUGUAAAUUGUGAGGUUCGAGUGUCUGAGUUGUGUUCUGAGCAUUUCCAGAUUUUCUGGUAGGUCGUUU